AUUUUUCGUGUGUAUUAUAUUAUGUAUACUAAACUUUGGUUUAUUUCAGGGGUUUCUAAUACUACCAUAAGACGAAUUGUUGCUGAAGGCAGAUCUAACAAAGGCGUAUUUAGUACGCCCGGUAAAAAGAAGAAAGGUGGCAAAUAAAAUAAACUUGGAUAGUUUUGAUUUAGAAUUGAUUAGAAACAAGAUAAAUGAGUUUUACACUGUACGAAAAGAAAUACCCACUGUCAUGAAAUUGCUACAAAUUCUUCGGGAGGAAAUCAAUUUCAAUGGAGGAAGAGAAUCAUUAAGACUUAUUUUGAAAUACAUUGGAUUUGAAUUCGUGAAACGCCAAUCAAAAAGGACUAUUUUAAUGGAGUGACAUGACAUAAAGAUACACAGAUUCAAGUUUUUGGAGCGUAUGCAAAAGAAUCGAGAAGCCGACGAUAAGCUAGAUGUGGUUUAUUUAGAUGAAACCUACAUACACGGUUCAUGUUCAGUGAACAAAUGCUGGCAAAAUAAAGAUGUCGCAGGCCCAUCUAAAAGUAUUUCGGCAGGGCCUAGAUGGAUCAUUGUACAUGCUGGUG
rnacentral:misc_RNA from 1 species